UGUUAUUAUACCAUUGUUUCA
rnacentral:piRNA from 1 species